rnacentral:rRNA from 1 species
GACGAACGCUGGCGGCGUGCUUAACACAUGCAAGUCGAACGGAAAGGCCCUGCUUUUGUGGGGUGCUCGAGUGGCGAACGGGUGAGUAACACGUGAGUAACCUGCCCUUGACUUUGGGAUAACUUCAGGAAACUGGGGCUAAUGCCGGAUAGGAGCUCCUGCUGCAUGGUGGGGGUUGGAAAGUUUCGGCGGUUGGGGAUGGACUCGCGGCUUAUCAGCUUGUUGGUGGGGUAGUGGCUUACCAAGGCUUUGACGGGUAGCCGGCCUGAGAGGGUGACCGGCCACAUUGGGACUGAGAUACGGCCCAGACUCCUACGGGAGGCAGCAGUGGGGAAUAUUGCACAAUGGGCGGAAGCCUGAUGCAGCAACGCCGCGUACGGGAUGACGGCCUUCGGGUUGUAAACCGCUUUCGCCUGUGACGAAGCGUGAGUGACGGUAAUGGGUAAAGAAGCACCGGCUAACUACGUG